rnacentral:rRNA from 1 species
UACGAAGGGGGCUAGCGUUGCUCGGAAUCACUGGGCGUAAAGGGCGCGUAGGCGGCGUUUUAAGCGGGGGUGAAAGCCUGUGGCUCAACCACAGAAUGGCCUUCGAUACUGGGACGCUUGAGUAUGGUAGAGGUUGGUGGAACUGCGAGUGUAGAGGUGAAAUUCGUAGAUAUUCGGAAGAACACCAGUGGCGAAGGCGGCUCACUGGGGCCGUCUGACGCUGAGGAGAAGCAAGGGCGCGGACAGGA